GCGGAAGUGGCGGAAUUGGUAGACGCACCAGAUUUAGGUUCUGGCGCCGUAAGGUGUGAGAGUUCAAGUCUCUCCUUCCGCACCA
rnacentral:tRNA from 117 species